rnacentral:tRNA from 1 species
GCGGGAGUUCCUGAUCCAUUGACCUCGCUGGCACACGGAAGGGGCGCCUCGACUCCGGGGCGCCCCUUCACCCGAGCUUCCCAAGCUCAGAGCGCGAGUUCGAUUCUCGGCACCCGCG